UUGAUUAGUUUUGAUAUACGUAAAUAUAUUUGCCAUUUGGUGGAUGCCUUUAACUAAAGCGCCUUUAUUCUGUACUUUUUCGAGCAUGCAACCAAUGAUUAAGCAGUGAUAGUUCUAAAUGAAUUCUUGUAGAGUGUCACGUGUUGUUAUGAUACCUUUGUGGUUGUGUAAUCCAUUGUCCUGGUUGUCUCUCUGCAGGGGCUGAGGGGCCAAGCAGGCACAGCCGGUGCCCAGGGGCCCGCAGGACACAACGGUGUACCUGGAAGACCUGGAGAGAAAGGGGAUGCCGGUGUACCUGUAAGUAUCCUGAGUGGCUGAUAGACACCUGGCUGCAGAAUAUAUAGAACAUGGAAUCCAGUAGUAUAGAAUACCAUCAUCCAAAUUGUUAUGCGCAAUAAAAGCACAACAUAUCCAUGAGUUUACCACUAGCGAUCACCAGCAUAAGCUAACCAUACCCUACACAUUCAGUACACACAUACAUUACAGUGUAAU
rnacentral:lncRNA from 1 species